CUCUCUCCUCCUCUCAGCUUCUUCCUGCUUUAGUCCUUAUAAUAAUUUGCGUAAUUAUCAGUUUCGUCUUUGGUUUUGAUUUUUCAUGUCAAAAUGCUCUAAUUAUAACAGCCUUUUGGUAUUUUGGGGGGUGCUUUUUUCAGGUGAAGUACUAAAGCGAGCCCGAUAACCCUACCAAGUCCUGCAAAGCUAGGGGAUCUCAUCUCCGUGUUCAUUUCAAGACGUCUUAUGCUAUCUAUUGAUAGAUGGAUUGGCAAGGGCAGAAGCUAGCAGAGCAGCUCAUGCAGAUAAUGCUGGUGAGCUCUGCUGUGGUGGCAUUUAUUUCAGGCUAUGUUUUGGGCUCAUUUCAGAUAAUGCUGCUGAUAUAUGCUGCUGGCGUUCUAUUGACUUCUCUCAUUACUGUUCCCAAUUGGCCUUUUCUCAAUCACCAUCCCCUCAAAUGGUUGGACCCAAGUGAAGCUGAGAAGCAUCCCAAACCGGUGUCUGCUAAUACUAGCUCAAAGAAGAAGGCUGGCAAGAAGUAGGUCACUUGACUAGUUUUGCUUAGGAUAUUUGUGAUGGGAGGUUUAUUAGCUAAAUUUUAAAGCCUUCAUUUUUGUGCGAACUAACAUUUUGGUGAAUGUGGCCUACAUCUGACUUUCAUACAAUGCAAAAGUUUCUAGUUUUCACAUGGCUUCUACUUUGUCUACUAGUUCUGGUAUGCUUCUAUGUGUGCAUGCAUCAGGAUCUUAGAUUGUCAGUUUAAGUGCCUACUUGUUUUUGGUGGGUUAUCGAAUUGCUUAUUUAUUUUCAUUAUAACCAGUCAAGAAUUUAUUUUAUUUUAUUUUUUUUGUGUUUAAACGGGAAGAAUAUACGUCCACACCUUGAGUUAUAUCUGGUGCAUGCAAUCUGGAACUCUUAUGUUUCUAAUUGUUAUUGACUAGGUCUUUGAAAUUGCUCAUACUGUUAUCUGGAACUCUUAUGUUUCUAUGUAUAUUGUAGGUCAGUUAUCUGCUUGCCCGUAGUUCAUAUAUUUGGCGUCCUUGAUUUGUAGUUGUUCAUAGUCAGUUCUUGCAUCGCCUGAGAUCAUUAGUCAGUUUUUGUAGUUAAUAUACGUUUAGACACAAAAGUCCAAAAUUAGGUGCACAAUUACAUUGAAACUAGAACAAUUAACUGUUACUCUGCCCGGCAGUCCCUAAAGAAAAAUUGGCAAGAAGAACAUUGUGUGCCCGAGGAAUUUAGAGGGGAUGGGCAAGAAGACUGCGACUCCAUUGAUCAGGAUCAAUGGCAGAAACAAUGUCUGUAUCUCCAACGAAUUUUCAUCCGACAAAUAGCUCUUUACCAGCAUGCUGUUUUCUACUCAAAUGCAUCCACAGAGGACAGGUAUUACCUACUCAGUUUGAAUUGUUGCUUCAUCAGCAUCAUUGCAAUAGAAUCAUUCUAAGGGUUGGACUGCGGCAAUGGACUAUCACAGUUACUGAUCAUUCAUUCGAAGAAGGGUGGGAUGCUUUUUGUGAACACAACAUUGUUAAAAGACAUGACACGUUGUUGCUUCGACAUAGCGGGAAUCUGAUAUUUGAUGUCAUUCACUUUUGUGAACUACAAAAACAAGUUUUAUUGCCCUGGACAGUUCCCCUACCAGACCUGUUGCACAUGAAUGUCGUCGCAUCACGAGAUGAUAUCCAUACACCUACUAGACAACAGCAAGUUGCUUCCUCGCUGAGACCGAAUUUCUGCCAGGAUCUAUCUGAUUCGAUUUGCUUUUAUCAAAUAUUUAACUCUGCAACUCCAAACAGUUUGAAAAUUCCACGCUUUAUUGAUCACUUCAUCAAUGGUUCCAAGACUCCCAAGUUACUUAUCAAUACUGGAAAUAAAAGUACUCAGAUAGGUGUAAAACAUGAACGCCUUCAUCAAAACUGGAGAGGUUUCAUUCUUGAGCAUCAACUGCAGCACAACGAAACUCUUGUCUUUGUUCCGGAAUCUGAAAAUAUAUUUACAGCUUUGAUCUUCGACGAUACCGGAGUUGAAAAGAUUUUUCCUUGGUAUCACACAUUUAAUAUUUAUUCACAUGCUUAACGAAUUUAGCUGAACUAUGCUGUGUAAUAUACCUACGAAUUAAAUACAUUGCUGGUAAUUUUCGC